CCGGCGACCGGCGCACGGGUGAGUAACACGUAUGCAACCUGGCCGUCACAGGUGGAUAACCGGAAGAAAUUCCGACUAAUACAGCAUAACACUCCUGAGGGACAUCCCUCGGGAGUCAAAGGAGGCAACUCCGGUGACGGAUGGGCAUGCGGCGCAUUAGGUAGUUGGUAGGGUAACGGCCUACCAAGCCGACGAUGCGUAGGGGUUCUGAGAGGAAGGUCCCCCACAUUGGAACUGAGACACGGUCCAAACUCCUACGGGAGGCAGCAG
rnacentral:rRNA from 1 species